rnacentral:lncRNA from 10 species
GAGAAAUACCUGACACUGGAUAAUUUAUCAAGAAAAGAGGUUUAAUUAGCUCAUGGUUCUGCAGGCUGUACAGGAAGCAUAACACAGGCAUGUGCUUCUGGGAAGGCCUCAGGAAGCUUACAAUCAUGGUAGAAAGUGAAGGGGGAGCAGGUAUCUCACAUGGUGGGAACAGGAGAGAGAGCGAGAGAGUGAGAGUGAGGUGCCAUGCUUUUAAACAGCCAGAUCUUGCAAGAAGUCACUCACUAUUGCAAGGACAGCACCAAGAGGAUGGUGGGAUGACGCUAAGUCAUUUAUGAGAAAGCCACCCCUAUGAUCCAAUCAUCUCCCACCAGGCCCCAAAUCCAAUACUGGGGAUUACAAUUCAACAUGAGAUUUGGGCGGAGACACACAUCCAAACCAUAACAAUCACCAAGGGACAAGUUAAAGAAGUUUGUGGGCUCAAGCAGUUGACUUCUAUGCAGCCAUUAAAAUAUAUGUCCCCAACAGAAGGCAGGCUUCCACGUAUAACACAUGUGACCAUUUUCCCCAGGCCCUCUAGUUUGCAAAGGUGAGGGCAGAGCUCAACCUGUAGUGUAGAGCCUGAGACAGAGGGACCAUGCUCCCUGUGUCCUAAUGGGAAAGGGCUCUUCUUGAGUAGAAAGGUGAUUACCAAGUUUUGCUUUCUCCUAUAGAUGAAACAUGAGCAAAAACAGGGAAAUGGAGACCUGGAAAAGAGAGGGCACAGAAACGGCCAGGUGGGUACACCUGUGAUGCUGGUGGUGGGAUUCGUUGGUGAACUACAGCCUGUAGGCCAAAUCCAGCCCACUACCUGAUUUUGCAUGGCCCAGGAGUGAAGGAUGGUUUGUUUGUUUUUUUGUUUGUUUGUUUUACAUUAAAAUGAUUGAGAAAUAAAUUUUUUAAAAGAAUAUUUCAUGACUUGUGAAUAGUAUAUAAAAUUCACAUGUCAUAAAUAAAGCUUUAUUGGAACAUGCCAGACCCAUGCACUUACAUAUUGUCUAGGGCUUCUUUCCCCCAUGUAAAGUUGAGUAGUUUUACAGAGAUCAUAUGGGUUCCAAAGCCUAAAAUAUUUACUAUGUGACCCUUUACUGAAAAAGUUUGCUGACCCCUGCCUUGUAGUAUGACACAUGGAUUUUUGGAAGAGUAAAACAAAUUUAACAUUUGCUGAGCACUCCUUCUUACCCAGCAUGGCUAUAGACUCUUCUCAUGUAUUUAAUAUAAUUUUGUGAACAACCCUAUAAGGCAGGUACUAUUAUUAUCUUCAUUUCACACAUAAGAAAGUUAAGACACCUCGGUAAUUUUCUCAAAGUCAGGUCAUUAGUGAGUAGAAAAACUGGGAUACGAACCCAGGCUGUCCAAUUCCAGAGCAAUAAUCUAGUUAGAUUUUCUGGCUUGUUAUGGGAUGGAAUUCCUGCUAGCUGUCCCUCAAAAAUGUCAGUAUCGCUAUGCAAACCAUCAUUUACUUGAUUAGUCUUGCUGUGGAGAAAGGGAUUGGGCUGUGCCUACACUUGGGGCACAACGGGAGAGGACACAACAGGAGGGGACAGUAGCCUUGAGAAGUGGCACCAGUUCACUCCUGGGCUUUACAUUUGAUGGCGUCAUAGAAUGGAGGAAAUCAUUGUGUGUGUGUGUGUGUGUGUGUGUGUGUGUGUGUGUGUGUGUGUGUGUGGUGUAUACAUAGCAAAUGUCUCGAAGGUCCCAUCCCAAACUGCAUAUAGCAUUUGCCCUUCAGGAGUGAAAUGGAUAAUGUAAAAUUGGGAGCUGUCUACAUUUUAAUCCUACGUUGUUUGAAAUUUUAAGUGAGGUUGUAGUCUUUGUAUUGCUAUUUUCAGAAACUCAUAUAAACAUGGUGAAAAGAACUCUCUGGCCUGAUUUUCCCUUUUGUGAGGUAAAUUGACUUAACUCUUCUUUAAGUUUCCUAGGUUUUGAGAAGAGAUAGAUUAUUUAAUAAUCUAUUUCCCCAGGAUGGCACCUAGAGGAAAAGAUUAUCCAGCCACCAAGAAAUGCCCAGCUCCUCUAUUUAUGAUGAACCUGACUUAAUCAGGAGUAGAAGGCACAUUUCUUCUUUUCAGAGUUACACAAGGGCCCUGGGUUUCCUGUUGACAUGAAGAUAUUCACACCCUUCAGAGGAUGGAACCCUUCACAAACAGCUUAUCAUCUGUUCCACUUUCUGCUCUUAGAGAUGAAAUAGGAAGUUUCUUCUUUGUUCAAAGAUUAAGGAAACCACUGUUUCCCUGUUGAGAUGGGGAAAGACGUACCAUCCUGGGAUCUUCAUGUCUCAGAAGGAUUAUAUACAUUUUCCCUUGUCUUCCCUGCAAAGGAAUGAGAGAAAGAACAGUCCCAGGGUUUGGCCACUGAAGGCUGGAAAGGGAUGGCAGGGCCCUCCCACACUUAGUCAUUACUCAUGCAUGAGGGCAGCUCCCAGCCCUCAGCUCUGGAGGGGUGGUGAGGGCUGGUUUUCCUGGGCUCUGCUAGGUAUCUGCUUGGUAUCUUGGGGAACUAUCUCAAAUUGAGUGAAAGAGCAGUGAGUGUUGCUUCCAUUUUCGGUACACCACUGAAAAUGAAGUACUUGUACAAGCUGGACAUUUGAGUUUCACUUCUCUUGUAAUGUUGAAUACAGACUCCUAAUUUAAAGACAUGUAUCUAAGGGACAAAUAAUUGCACUGAUCCAAGAAGGGCUGGGCUCCUGGCUAAACUCUAUCCUGAAGCCUGGAACCUUGGCCCUAAGUGAAAACAGCCAACCCCAUUUUUCCACCCAAAUGAUUUCCUUUUUGGCCCACCCCGCCCCCUAUCCUGUGCCCACAAAAAACCAGACUUCAGCUGGUAGAGGGAAAAAAAACACACACAUACAAAAGCUGCUGACUGUCGGGGAUACAAGCAGCUGAGUGGUGAGCAGAGAAGCAGCAACUGCGUACUGUAGAAUAUGGAUAAACGCAGCUAACUUCAGACGGUGCGGCUUCAGAGGGGAGCCUGGCUGGAGACAGGCUGGGCUUCAGGGAAAGAUCACCUUCUUCCCACUCGAUCCCCUUUCCAGCUCCCCUUCCACCGAGAGCCACUUGCACUGCUCAAUAGUCUUCUGCACCAAUCAUCUUUCAAACAGUUCAUGUGACCUGAUUCUCCCAGAAUAUUGAACAACAACUCGGGUGUCAAAAAGAGCAGGUGCAGAAGGCUGUCACCCUAACCUUUUACUGAGCUGUUAACACUUAGCCAUCCACAGACUGCAGGCUGCAGGCUGAGUGAAAUGAGUCACUCCAGUUCCACGAAGGGGGUCAAAGUCAAGGAAAAAUCUCAUCUUAACACAACCCAUAAUGUAAUAGUGUGCAAUAUCUUUUCUAGUAAUCACAGUUUUUGUAAAAAAUCAGUAUAAAGCUGUCAAGUUUUCUUUCUUAGAAAAGAUCUGUUAUAUUUUUCUGAAAUCAUCUUCUUUAUCUUUUGCAGGGAGGAAUGUCCUUCCUUUUAUGAAAUUAAAUAAGAGCCCCUAUAAUUUGCAAGAAACUGUUCUAAGUCCUAAGGAAUUGGCAGCGAACAAAAUGCAGCAAGUCUCUAAACUUGUAGAGCAAAUUUUUUUCCAGAAUAAAAUGUAGCUUUAUUAUGACAUAGGAAAGACUGCAAACCAUUAGGGGAGGACGAGGAGUCAAAUUGAUGCAGGAUUAUUUUCUUGACUGUUUCGUGGGACUCGUGACAGGGGUGCCCUGUUUACUCAGCCCACCCCGCUUAACCCCUUGUAGGAGGGAGCACACAAGCAAAUGAAUGGAGGAACCGGCUGGCUGCUCCAUUCCUUCAGGUCUGCCAUGCUCCACCCCUCACAGGAGGGAGCAUGUAGGCAAGUGAGUGCAGGAACCAGCUGGCUGCUUUGGUGCCAGCAGGAGCAAACUCCAGGCAGGCCCCGCAGCAGUGUCUAGGUGGGGGUGCCUGUGACCCCAGAGCCCCAGAGGGCGUGUUACAAUGCUCUCUUAGCUCCACUGUCCACAGACAGCAGUGUGUUAUCAGCUCAGUGGGCCCUUUGCCUCAUCGUAUGGGGCAGCUGCCCUCUGCCAGUGAGGGAAAGGGACCAGUGUUGACAGCCUUUUUGGGUAUCAGCCCUUGGUGCAUACUGAAUCCUUGUUUGGUGCCCAAGAAGAAUGAGGUCACAUGAACGAAUUGAAGGAUGGUGGAUGAGGAUAAUUUUAUUGAUCAAUGAAAGCAGAUCUCAGCCGAAAGGGGAGCUGGAAAGGAGAUGGGAAGGGCAGGUUGCUCUCCCUUGAAAGCCUCUGUUUGACAUCCAGCUGCUGUCUCUGAAGUCAAGGUGCCUCUUCCCAGUGUCCAGCUGCUUCUCCUCUCUACAGGCUGAGCCUGGGGUCUUUGUAGGCACAGGAUGAGGGGUAGGGCAGGCCAUAGAUUGCUUUGGAAAAGGCAACAUCUGAUUGGCAAAAAGACGUUAUUCAGAAAGAACCAAUCAGGAGACAGUGGGCACACAGGGAUAGAAGUUCUCACUUUGGGUGGCAGGUUUCAGGAUUUCCAGAAGGUGGGGUUUUGCCACAGAUCCACCCCUGUCUGCAGAGAAUUUCUCUGCCUCUUGCCUCUAUCCAGAUAGCUCCUUAAAAUGAGAGGUAAAAGGAAGACAUAAACACCUUGGUAAUGAAGCCUCCAACCACAGCACAAUCAUUGGAUGUUUUUUCUCACAAUUUUUUGUUUUCAAAGCUAUAGUAAAUGAAACAGCUACUUGAAUUAUCAAAAGAAUAGCAGUUUUACACAAUGAGAAGCAUACAUGCCAAGCAAAAAUAUAGUAGCACUUGGGCAUAGAGUCCAGGGACCCUUCGUGCACCUGAUAGGGAAGCCCAGGGCCUCGGUAGGUGUUGUGGGGGUGCUGGAAGGAGGCCAAUCAUGCUCCCAGCAUAUGGCUCAGCUCAAAGCACAACAGCAAAUUCUAGAAAACAAAUAAAUAUAUAACACCAUGCCAACAGUAAUUGGCACUAUUAGCACCAAUUAAUAAUAUUAGCACUAUUUUAAUAAGUGCUAUGAAGAGACAUGAAAUAGAACCAGGAGCUCAAGCAGUGGGACUCAACCUGGGCCCAACGCUGUAAACACCCAAGAGCUUUAAAACAUAUUGUUGCCUUGGUUCUACUUGGAGAGUUCUAUUCCAAUUGGUCUGGAGUUUAGCUUGGGAAUCUGAAUUUUAAGCACUUUGGGUGGGUCUAAUGUACUGAUGAGCAGUGACUACCAAUAAGGGCACACUGGCACUUGAGGCUUUCACUCACAUUUCAUUGGCCAAAGCAAGUCAUAUUCCUGACCUGCACUCCAGGCAAGAGGGCAGUGCCAUUCCAGGUGUGCCCUGGAGAAAGGGAAUGUGCGUGAAGCCCCUUAAUGGUGGCCACAAGCUCCUCCUCCCUUGCUUGAGUCCAAGUGAAGAACUGUUUUUCUAUUAAAUCCAAUUCUAUGACUUUCCCUAACAUUCACACACAAAGUAAUGCAAUACAGACCCACAUACCAGCAGAUCGCUACUAGCUGAGUGUGUGACCAGUUUGAGUAUCUGGAUGGGCCAGAUGUUCACAGUGGCCACACUUAGCCACAAAACACAACAGCCUUCAAUGUCCCAGCCCUUGGCCUAACCAUCAUUGCUCUCCAAGCAUGUGGAGGCUUCAGCUUUCUCACUUCCGGAGCCGAGGUGACACUGUUAUGCACUGGCUAGUUUAGCUUUUUUGGGUGCAACAUCUGGAGCAAAUGUGUAACUUGAUGUUGGUCACUUUUACACAAAAAUAAAUAGUCUGUAUCCGACAGACCCAGUGAAAGGUGCUGUUUGUUUAGACAGUGGAUUUGUUGUGCAUUUCAUUUAGCUAAUGAAUCUUGGAACUCUCAACAUAAACAAUCAGGAAACUUAAACCCUUAAGGAGCCUAAGAGAUAGGAAUGUUUUCUUCAGUGUGAAUCAUGAGCUAAUUAUUGUUCCUAAAACUGUAAACCAAAUUAAUUAUGCCUACCUAGUAGCUAGAGAACAUGAAGGAUCCAGCACCUGCCUUGUGUUCAAAUAUGGACUAUUUAGAGACAAGAGGUGUGUUCGAUUUUUCUGCUUGCUAGAACAUACUCUCUUUCAAGUUUCUUCAAGUAGCAGGGGUCCCUUGUAAAGAUGUACAUGAGUUAAAAAAGAAACAGGGAUCUCAUGAGAACCUAAGAACAGAAGCCAAUGGACACUCAGCUUACAUAUAAUUACAUAUAUAAUUAAUAUUCUCAGUGACAUAAGAGGAAUCUUUGCAUCCAUGACACAGGAACAGAGUCAUUUAAAAAAGGAUCAAUCAGACAUUCAGAAAUAGAAAAAGAGCUUUUGGAAAUCUAAAAUAUGAUUGCAGAAACACAACAAUGACAAACUCAAUAGAACAAAUAAAAGUAAAAUUUGGGCCGGGCAUGAUGGCUCACGCGUAUAAUCCCAGAACUUUGGGAUACUGAGGCGGGAGGAUCAUCUGAGGUCAGGAGUUCAAGACCAGCCUGGCCAACAUGGUGAAACCCCGUCUCUACCAAAAUAUAAAAAAUUAGCCAGACAUGGUGGGGUGCUUGUAAUCUCAGUUACUUGGGAGGCUGAGGCUGGAGAAUCACUUGAACACAGGAGGCGGAGGUUGCAGUGGGCUGAGAUCGCACCAUUGCACUCCAGUCUGGGUGACAAGCAAAACUAUGUCUUAAAAAAAAAAAAAAAAAAAAAAGUUAAAUUUGAGGAAAUCUCCCAGAGAGUAGUCAAAACCACAAAAAGAUGAAAAAUAGAAUAGCAAAGAUAACAAAAUUUGAGGACCAGUCCAGGUGGUCCAAUGCUGAUAUUUAAUAGGAGUUCCAGAAAUAUAUUAGAAAAAAAUGAGGCAAGAAAAUCAUCAAUGAAAUGAGUCAAGAAAAUUCUCAGGACUGAAGGACCUGAGAUUGAGAGAGCCCACAGAGA